rnacentral:rRNA from 1 species
GAUGAACGCUGGCGGCGUGCCUAAUACAUGCAAGUCGAGCGAACGGACGAGAAGCUUGCUGCUCUGAUGUUAGCGGCGGACGGGUGAGUAACACGUGGAUAACCUACCUAUAAGACUGGGAUAACUUCGGGAAACCGGAGCUAAUACCGGAGAAUAUUUUGAACCGCAUGGGUCAAAAGUGAAAGACGGUCUUGCUGUCACUUAUAGAUGGAUCCGCGCUGCAUUAGCUAGUUGGUAAGGUAACGGCUUACCAAGGCAACGAUGCAUAGCCGACCUGAGAGGGUGAUCGGCCACACUGGAACUGAGCCACGGUCCAGACUCCUACGGGAGGCAGCAGUAGGGAAUCUUCCGCAAUGGGCGAAAGCCUGACGGAGCAACGCCGCGUGAGUGAUGAAGGUCUUCGGAUCGUAAAACUCUGUUAUUAGGGAAGAACAUAUGUGUAAGUAACUGUGCACAUCUUGACGGUACCUAAUCAGAAAGCCACGGCUAACUACGUG